rnacentral:rRNA from 1 species
AGUCACUGACAUUAGAUACCCGCGUAGUCCAGGGUGUAAACGCUGCAGACUUGGUGUUGGAAGUCCUUUGGGGGCAUUCAGUGCCGGAGAGAAGUUGUUAAGUCUGCUACUUGGGAGUACGUCCGCAAGGAUGAAACUUAAAGGAAUUGGCGGGGGAGCACCGCAACGGGAGGAGCGUGCGGUUUAAUUGGAUUCAACACCGUAAAACUCACCAGGGAAGACUGUUACAUGAAGGCCGAGAUGAAGACUCUGCUAGAUUUUCAG